rnacentral:lncRNA from 1 species
GCCCAAACUGACCCAGCAAGUCAGGUGCAAGGCCAGGCAUGGGAAUUGCCUGUUCACAUACUUUGCCCAUUUUUCUAUGAGGUGAUUGUUCUUUUUGGUUUGUAGGUGCAUGGAUUUUCAGUAAACACUGAUUGAUUGAAGGAAUGAAUCCAGAACUCCUAGAAGAACAUAGACCAGGCUGGGCCAAGUCUAGGUGCCCCCAUCCCUAACCUCUCCAGGUUGGCAAUACACGCCUCCAGGGAAAAAACAAAAACAAAAACAAAAACCAGGCAGGAGGAAAAUAUCUCAUCGUGUUGCUCUGAGGAUCAAGUGACAUCACAUAUAGGAAAAUGCUGUGUCAACCAAAAGACAGUCUACUAAUGAUUAGCCAAUUCAAGUGGUAAGUAAAGGGGUUCCAGAACCUGGAGGUUCUUUGGUCUGGGCCUUCCUUGUGGAAGACUUUCAGGAGCAGAGUUGGUUUUAAGAGAACUUCUGACUCCUUCUCAAGCCCUGUGGCUGGUCCUUGGCACCUCGAGGGGGCUCUCUACUGAGAGCUCCUG